rnacentral:rRNA from 1 species
AUUGAACGCUGGCGGCAGGCCUAACACAUGCAAGUCGAGCGAGCGGCGGACGGGUGAGUAAUGUAUGGGGACUGCCCGAUAGAGGGGGAUAACUACUGGAAACGGUAGCUAAUACCGCAUACUAUCGGAUAACCCAUAUGGGAUUAGCUAGUAGGGGAGGUAAUGGCUCAACUAGGCGACGAUCCCUAGCUGGUCUGAGAGGAUGAUCAGCCACACUGGGACGGGGACGCGGCCCAGACUCCUACGGAGGCAGCAGUGGGGAAUAUUGCCCAAUGGGCGCAAGCCUGGUGUAGCCGUGCCGCGUGUAUGAAGAAGGCCCUAGGGUUGUAAAGUACGUUCAGUCGGGAGGCGUUACCGACAGAAGAAGCACCGGCUAACUCCGUGCCAGCAGCCGCGGUAAUUC